rnacentral:rRNA from 1 species
UAAGUAGGCGGAGGAAAUGACACAAACAUGGAUUCACUGAGUAACUGCGAGUGACAUGUGAUUUGCUCACAGCUGAUAUUCUUUGCUGUCUGCUUUGACAUGAGGACUUUGAGUGCGGUGCCAAUGGUGGUGUAAGUGUGAGCCAUCUUGGAAAAGAGGAGAGUGUGCACUGACAAGGGUGAGAAGCCUGUGUGUGCUUGCAAAAUCUCCAUAUGGGGGUCACGCUUUGAGAAUCAUGCUCUUAAAGUGGGUGGUAGACUCUUCUCAAAGCUGAGUACAGAACUGGGACCGACAGGGAAGAAGUACCAUGAGGGAAGUGUGAAAAGGACUUUGGAAAGAGACUUAAAAGAGCCUGUACUUGCUGAAGGAUAUGCAUACAGCAUGCUUGCAUGUGAGAUGAUUGCUGUGUGUAUGAGUCUGACUUUGGCUGGAUGGCCAUGGCCGUGUGCCAUGGACACUUGGCCACCCAAUGUGUAUCCUCUUGUGUGUGCCAGCAUGUGGGAGACAGUCAGUGUUUGAGUGCAGUGGUUGCUGUGUCUGGGGAUACAUCAGAUGUGCACUCAAAGAUCUGAGCAUGUUGAGAAGCAGGUGCAGAAGGGCCCUCCUGUCUGUAUGACCCGUCUUGAAACACGGACCAAGGAGUCUAGCAUGAGUGCAAGCAUAUGGGACCGAAGGCUCUGUGUGCAAUGAAGGUGGAGUCCCAGAUUUGUGCAUGAGUGUUCAAACAAGCAGGAGGACAAGGUUUGAGUCUGAGCAUUCCUGACAGGACCCGAAAGAUGGUGAACUAUGCCCGGAAAGGGCCAAGUCAGGGGAAACUCUGGUGGAGGCUCGUAGCGUUACUGACGUGCAGAUCGUUCGUCACACCUGGGUAUGGGGGCGAAAGACUAAUCGAACCAUCUAGUAGCUGGUUCCCUCUGAAGUUUCCCUCAGGAUAGCUGAACUUGCAGGACUUUCACCAGGUAAAGCGAAUGAUUGGAGGAAUUGGGGGUUGCAGACCUUUGACCUAUUCUCAAACUUUUAAUGGGUGUGUUGUGUGGUUGCUUAGCUGAACCAACAGCUAAUGAUGACUCUUAGUGGGCCACUUUUGGUAAGCAGAACUGGCGAUGAGGGGUGAACCUGAUGAUGGGUUAAGGCACUGAAGUUCUUGCUCAUCAGAAACUGUAAAGGGUGUUGGCUCAUUCUGACAGCAGGUCGGUGGUCAUGGAAGUUGAAAUCCGCUUGGGAGUGU